ensembl:miRNA
GACAGGACCCAGACUAGGGCGAGACAGGAGAGGCACCUGGAGUGUAGAAUUUAAGGAGAUGCGCACUAUCAACCUGAAACGCCUCCUUAAAUUCUGCACCCUGGGAGCCUCUCUUGCUUUAUCCUAGUCCCAGACGUGCCC